ACGCUCGACACCUACGGGGGCAGCAGUCGGGAAUAUUGCGCAAUGGAGGGAACUCUGACGCAGUGACGCCGCGUAUAGGAAGAAGGUUUUCGGAUUGUAAACUAUUGUCGUUAGGGAAGAGAAAGGACAGUACCUAAGGAGGAAGCUCCGGCUAACUACGNGCCAGCAGCCGCGGUAAUCUGAGCGGGCUGGCAAGGC
rnacentral:rRNA from 1 species